rnacentral:rRNA from 1 species
UACGGAGGAUGCGAGCGUUAUCCGGAUUUAUUGGGUCUAAAGGGUGCGUAGGCGGAUCGUUAAGUCAGUGGUCAAAUUGAGGGGCUCAACCCCUUCCCGCCAUUGAAAUUGGCGAUCUUGAGUGGAAGAGAAGUAUGCGGAAUGCGUGGUGUAGCGGUGAAAUGCAUAGAUAUCACGCAGAACCCCGAUUGCGAAGGCAGCAUGCCGGCUUCCUACUGACGCUGAAGCACGAAAGCGUGGGGAUCGAACAGG